AGAUCUGUCCACUGAACCUUAUCAUUUAGAGGAAGGAGAAGUCGUAACAAGGUUUCCGUAGGUGAACCUGCGGAAGGAUCAUUGUCGUGACCCUUAAACAAAACAGACCGUGAACAUGUCAUCCAUCCCGCACGUGGUUCUACCCGUGCAAGGCCCCCGACCUUCUUUCCGAAGGAGAGGGGCCGCAAAAGAACCCACGGCGCCGAAGGCGUCAAGGAAAACUGAUAUUGCCUUGCUCGGGGCUGUGCUCGGCUUGCCGAGCACACCUCGUGCAGCGAUGCUAUCUUAAUCCACACGACUCUCGGCAACGGAUAUCUCGGCUCUCGCAUCGAUGAAGAACGUAGCAAAAUGCGAUACCUGGUGUGAAUUGCAGAAUCCCGCGAACCAUCGAGUUUUUGAACGCAAGUUGCGCCCGAGGCCUUCUGGUUGAGGGCACGCCUGCCUGGGCGUCACGCCAAAAGACACUCCCAACCCAAACCUGGGGAAGGACGUGGUGUUUGGCUCCCCGUGCUGCAAGGCGCGGUGGGCCGAAGUUUGGGCUGCUGGCAUAACUUGUCGGGCACCGCACGUGGUGGGCGACAUCUAGUUGUUCUCGGUGCAGUGUCCUGGCAUGCAGCUGGCUUAUUGGCCUCAAGGACCCAUACACGACCGAAGCGUUUAGGCGCUCGGACCGCGACCCCAGGUCAGACGGGACUACCCGCUGAGUUUAAGCAUAUCAAUAAGCGGAGGA
rnacentral:rRNA from 1 species